rnacentral:rRNA from 1 species
AGGAUAAACGCUGGCGGCGUGCCUAACACAUGCAAGUCGAACGCCCUACGCUUCGGUGUAGGGAGUGGCGGACGGGUGAGGAACACGUGGGUGAUCUACCUUGAGGUGAGGAAUACCGGCGAGAAAUCGCCGACAAUACCGCAUGUCUUUCUUGCAAGAGAAAGAAAGCUUCUUCGGAGGCGCCACAAGAUGAGCCUGCGGCCGAUUAGCUAGUUGGUGGGGUAAAAGCUUACCAAGGCGACGAUCGGUAGCUGGUCUGAGAGGACGAUCAGCCACACUGGGAUUGAGAACGGCCCAGACUCCUACGGGGGGCAGCAGUGAGGAAUUUUCGUCAAUGGGGGAAACCCUGAACGAGCAACGCCGCGUGCAGGAAGAAGGUUUUCGGAUCGUAAACUGCUUUUCUCGGGGAAGAGAACGGACGGUACCCGAGGAAGAAGCCCCGGCUAACUACGUGCCAGCAGCCGC